GCAAAUUCCAUCUAGGUCACUCAUGUCCCUCAGCAUGAUUUGUGGAGUACCCAUCAACCGACUUUAUAGUCAUCCUGUUACGGACAAUGUUUGAACGGCAACUAAGUACUCUACUCCACAUCUAGGGUCCAUAGUGGUUUCAGGUCGAAGGGUGGUAUACACCAUUAUCACUAUCAGAAUAACUUAUGACAUUUUUCAUAACACACUAUGUAGUAUUCUCAUGGUGGGUCAAUCCAAUAUAAAUAUUACUCCUAAUAUUUAUAUCUAUGUGAAGACUUGAUAUCUCAUAUCCAUGACACGUGAGAUGAGGUCAUCAGUCUACUCACAUAAUAGUCUCUAUGUUUUACUGUUAUCCCACAUCACUGUAAAACUUGACUACG
rnacentral:lncRNA from 1 species